UCUCAGUGUACUCAUGAGCCUAUUAGAAGUUCUUACUUACAUUUGCCUUCUGUCCCACUGUGUAGGAGAUGCUUUAUUACAGUGAGGGCACAAAUUCAGUUCAGGCAAUCAGCAGCCUCCAAGACCCCACAAAGCACUGUCUUCCACAGAGCACAGGAGAUCAACCACCCCAGGAUGGAUUGUCGUGCACAGACACUGUCAAUUUCUAUGGAAAAUAAAGAAGGAAAAAAAAAACCAUAACCCACAAAUUCUGACCAGCUACCUCAACAGCUCCUGAGAUAACCCAGCCUACGUGAGAAGCAGCACAGCAAGGACUCAUGAUGAAGAGGAAAUCAAGACUUCUUCAGAGGUCAGCCUUGGCUACAUGUGCCCCAGUGCACUGAACUGAGUAAAGGACAGGAGUGCAGGAAGAGUGCACAUGGCCAGAGCAGUGGGACACAGCGAGGUUAUGUGACCUCCAGUGAAACAGCUCCAUCAUUUUUUGAUAUUUUUCACUGGUAUUAUGAUGCCUGCACUAGAGCAGGGGAAAGUUGGUUUUUGAGGAUAAAAGGAGUACAAUUGUGAAGAUAUUGAUCAUUCCCAUCUGACAUACAACUCCAAAGACUAAAAGAGUUCAAAUUCCUCCACCAGAUAACACAGGCUUUAGAUGCAUGAGCAACACUCAGCAAACUGACCACGAUAUGAACAGUAUAGAGAAGACCAGAUGAGAAAUGAAACAGAAGUGCUGUUUCAUAUGUGGCUGUUCCAUACUCUACAGACUGAAGAAGAUAGAAAUAAAGUCUCUCCAGCUUUACAGUUUAUGCCAUUUUUAUUUUUAAUAUACAAAAACUAUUAAUUUGUAGUAAACAAUCUUUCUGUUUCUCUGAAUAAAGCAUAAAGACUGUUUAUAUCUCCUUGUUCAUUCA